UACGGGGGGGGCAAGCGUUGUUCGGAAUUACUGGGCGUAAAGGGCUCGUAGGUGGCCAACUAAGUCAGACGUGAAAUCCCUCGGCUUAACCGGGGAACUGCGUCUGAUACUGGAUGGCUUGAGUUUGGGAGAGGGAUGCGGAAUUCCAGGUGUAGCGGUGAAAUGCGUAGAUAUCUGGAGGAACACCGGUGGCGAAGGCGGUUCUCUGGGCAUUACCUGACGCUGAGGAGCGAAAGUGUGGGGAGCGAACAGG
rnacentral:rRNA from 1 species